rnacentral:rRNA from 1 species
UACGGGAGGGGCGAGCGUUAUUCGGAAUUAUUGGGCGUAAAGGGCGCGUAGGCGGCUGUACAAGUCAAAGGUGAAAUCCCUCGGCUCAACUGAGGAACUGCCUUUGAAACUGUACGCUUGAGGCCGGGAGGGGGUAGCGGAAUUCCCAGUGUAGCGGUGAAAUGCGUAGAUACUGGGAGGAACACCAGUGGCGAAGGCGGCAUCCUGGACCGGCAUUGACGCUGAGGAGCGAAAGCCAGGGGAGCAAACGGG